rnacentral:rRNA from 1 species
GACGAACGCUGGCGGCGUGCUUAACACAUGCAAGUCGAACGGAAAGGCCCUGCUUGCUGGGUACUCGAGUGGCGAACGGGUGAGUAACACGUGGGUGAUCUGCCCUGCACUUCGGGUUACGCCUGGGAAACUGGGUCUAAUACCGGAUAGGAGCCAUUUUUAGUGUGAUGGUUGGAAAGUUUUUUCGGUGUAGGAUGAGCUUGCGGCCUAUCAGCUUGUUGGUGGGGUAAUGGCCUACCAAGGCGGCGACGGGUAGCCGGACUGAGAGGGUGGACGGCCACAUUGGGACUGAGAGACGGCCCAGACUCCUACGGGAGGCAGCAGUGGGGAAUAUUGCACAAGGGGCGCAAGCCUGAUGCAGCGACGCCGCGUGGGGGAUGACGGCCUUCGGGUUGUAAACUCCUUUCGCUAGGGACGAAGCUUUUUGUGACGGUACCUAGAUAAGAAGCACCGGCUAACUACGUG